rnacentral:rRNA from 1 species
CCCUUAGAUGUUCUGGGCCGCACGCGCGCUACACUGACGAUGGCAACGAGUUUUUCCUUCGCCGAAAGGUGUGGGUAAUCUUUUGAAACAUCGUCGUGCUGGGGAUAGAUCAUUGCAAUUUUUGAUCUUGAACGAGGAAUUCCUAGUAAGCGCGAGUCAUCAGCUCGCGUUGAUUACGUCCCUGCCCUUUGUACACACCGCCCGUCGCUACUACCGCUUGAAUGGUUUAGUGAGGACUCCUGAUUGGCGCCGCCGCCCCGGCAACGGAGCAGCGGACUGCCGAAAAGUUGUUCAAACUUGAUCAUUUAGAGGAAGUAAAAGUCGUAACA